rnacentral:rRNA from 1 species
GACGAACGCUGGCGGCGUGCUUAACACAUGCAAGUCGAACGAUGAAGCCUAGCUUGCUAGGUGGAUUAGUGGCGAACGGGUGAGUAAUACGUGAGUAACCUACCUUUAACUCUGGGAUAAGCCUGGGAAACUGGGUCUAAUACCGGAUACGACCAAUCUCCGCAUGGGGUGUUGGUGGAAAGCGUUAUGUAGUGGUUAUAGAUGGGCUCACGGCCUAUCAGCUUGUUGGUGAGGUAACGGCUCACCAAGGCGACGACGGGUAGCCGGCCGGAGAGGGUGACGGGCCACCCGGGGCAGGAGAACCGGCCCACGCCCUUCGGGGGGGCAGCGGGGGGGAAAUUUGCACAAGGGGCGCAAGCCUGAGGCAGCGCCCCCGCGGGGGGGAUGAGGGCUUUCGGGUUGUAAACCCCUUUUAGCAGGAAAGAAGAGAAAUUGGCGGUCCCGGCAGAAAAAGCCCCGGCAAAUUACGG